GACGAACGCUGGCGGCGUGCCUAGUACAUGCAAGUCGAACGAAGCUUUUUUAACUGGUGCUUGCACCGACUUAAACAACUGAGUGGCGAACGGGUGAGUAACACGUGGGUAACCUGCCCCAAAGCGGGGGAUAACAUUUGGAAACAGAUGCUAAUACCGCAUAACCACAGAAACCACAUGGUUUCUGUGUCAAAGAUGGUUUCGGCUAUCACUUUGGGAUGGACCCGCGGCGUAUUAGCUAGUUGGUAAGGUAACGGCUUACCAAGGCAAUGGAACGUAGCCGAACUGAGAGGUUGAUCGGCCACAUUGGGACUGGGACACGGCCCAAACUCCUACGGGAGGCAGCAGUGGGGAAUCGUCCACAAUGGACGAAAGGCUGAUGGAGCAACGCCGCGUGAGUGAAGAAGGUUUUCGGAUCGUAAAACUCUGUUGUCAGAGAAGAACGUGUGCGAGAGUAACUGUUCGUGCAGUGGCGGUAUCUGGCCAGAAAGCCACGGCUAACUACGUGCCAGCAGCCGCCGUAA
rnacentral:rRNA from 1 species